rnacentral:sRNA from 1 species
UGUCAUUUAACCUUCAUUUGACUUGAAUGUAUUUCGUACAUAACAUUUUGGGGCUUAAUGUUUGUUCUAUGUUUGAAAACAGGUCAUUCUUGUAUCUGGUGAGACUGGGUGCGGAAAGACAACACAGCUAAUACUGAUAAAUUCACAUAUAACAAUUAUCACGAAGGUCAGGUUCUUAAGAAGGGAAAUAAGGAACACUACAUUAGAGGUGGUUAUAUUCUUAGAUUGGGUUCUUGGUGACUUCCAAUCCUUGGUAAAGUGUCACGAUAUAGCAAAGAAACUGGUAUAAGGUGAAGUUGAGCCACCAUAAAAUGUUGCAUGUGGGUACGUUUGAAGAAAUAGCAUGUGAUGCACAAGUGACAGAUUUAAUCGAGGACAUGCCAAAUGAUAAGGUAGUUGAAUUAUAUGUGAUUGACAAGAAUGUGAAGGCAAUUAGUAAAAGUGACAAGGGUGCUGCUUCAAGUAAUGGAGAUAAAGGCAACAAAUUACAAAGUGAAAGUGACAAGAGUCAAGCUUCAACAAAUGCGGAGAAGGCAAACAAAAUGGUACCUGCAAAUGUGUUAAUUGAUGUAGGUGUGGUGCAAGAGUUUGAGAUAACAUAAUCUUUAAGUUAGGAUGACAGAUUUCAUGAAUUUUGGCAAGAUGGGGAAUUCACAAUAGAAAAUCAAGGAGAAAAAGAAGAUUCUGCAACAAAAACUUAGGGAAAAAAUAGGGAUGAUGAAGAUGUUGAGGGAGAUGAAAGUGAACAACCUAAAAUGUGGAGGAAAUAAUCAAAAUAGUGAUUAUGACCAGGAUUCAGAUCAGGAAAUUGAACAUGCACACGAGAAUGUGUUAGAAGAUGAUUUGUUUGAAAAACAGGUAGACAACC